CUCAAACAUUUUCUAAUAAGGCUUGACCACAUUGUCUUUUGUGCCAGUGAUGACUCUCAGGAGGAGCCCGUCCUGUAAAAUUUCUCAGUGACCUCAAUACAUCUUUACCUUCUAACAUCCCUGCAUCUUUCCCUAGUCAUCCCAACGCACCCCUUCAGACCCAAACCCUUCUAGCUCUCUCCCCUCUGCUGCCCAUCCUCCAAGCGAUGCACAUUCAUGCUGUGACAAUCUCUGAACUGAUGAGCAGUGGUAUUAAGAUUAAACUGGGAUCUUCUACUAACACCAGACAGAAGUUUCUAUGGUGAGCUGCUUUUUGCUUAUGUAAGCCAUUUAGUGGUUAGAAGAGUUCUGAAGAAGGGAAGCCUCCAGGAAACUAAAGGAAUGUAAGGAAUGCUCACCUCACAUCAUCUUUUCUCUGCUGUUGUUCAUAAGAAAAUACUCUGUCUGUGCCAUACCCUGUAGUUACCACCACAAAAAUCUGGAUACUCUCCCUGCCCCUCUCCGUACAAAAUACACAGCACACUGUUCCUAUGCUCUCCUUUACAUCUCAAAUAAAACCUCCCACUCUCCCAAGAUACUGGGAUGCUUAGCAAAGCCAGUGAGAGACCUUUUUAAGCACAUGGCCAAGUCCUCUCUGUUGGUAUAAGACAGAGAGUACCAGAGGCUUUUAGUCUAGGGCCGUAUCCAGUGACUGUGACCAUUCCCAAUGCACAGAACCUUGCUCUCUGCCAAUUUAAACUGGAGAAUCAAGGCACCGCCCCCUCGGGUCCCCUCCCUUCCCCCCCCAGGAACCCCAGUUUCCAAUGGAAGCGAUGUCUAAGUUCCACCCUGACUUCAUCCAUUCUCAGUGGCAGCACCAGCUCCGCCGCUGUCUCCACUGUCUGUCCCUCCUUCCUCCCUUCCAGACAGUGUGGAGAGCCAGGAGAAAUGGGCUGCUCUUGGGCUGGGUUCCUUGAUGGCAAAGAACCCAGGAGCUGCAGACAGAGGUUUUGCACUCUGGAGGGGAUUUCCCGGACUCCGAGGCAGCGAUGCCCACCAACUUAGGAGCAGCAAACCGGCAAAUUC
rnacentral:lncRNA from 1 species